rnacentral:lncRNA from 1 species
CUUUCAUUCUUACUUUCCACACUCCAGUCCUUAGAAGGAAGUCCCUAAGUGCAGCCCACACUUAAGGGCCGCUCUGCUCUCACCGUUUGUGCACAGGGUUCUGUGCAAAUAUGUCUUCAGAGGAGCUGGAGGAGGACCCGUGUGCUCACCAGGCUGGGUGCUGAGUCCCUGUGCAGCUUCCUGAGAACCUGCUGACCGUCACCCAGUGGCUCUGCUGCUUCGUAUUCCUGCCCCGGGGAUGAGGGUUCUGCUGCUCCACAUCCUGCUCAGCACCUGCUCAACUGUCCCCAGUUCUUGGACUCUAGCUCUUCUAACAGGAGGAUGGAAAUGCAAGUCUCAACUGAGUGUUUAGCAGACUAUGGUUUCUUUUUCAAAUGGAUUUCUCAAUUUUCCCGGAAAUGCACAGCAUCUUAGCAUUGUUGUGAAACCAGUCCCAAACUUUCCCCGAGUCUCGUCUUGCUGAGUAUCUUCGAGCACAUCUGAUCUUCCAGCAACGUCAUCUCCCUGCACAGCCUCUCCCACGGCCCUCAGUGCUGCCACACGGGACGGACGGGUCCCCACAC